ACCUACGGGAGGCUGCAGUAGGGAAUCUUCGGCAAUGGGCGAAAGCCUGACCGAGCAACGCCGCGUGAAUGAUGAAGGCCUUCGGGUUGUAAAAUUCUGUUAUAAGGGAAGAACGACUUUAGUAGGAAAUGGCUAGAGUGUGACGGUACCUUAUGAGAAAGCCACGGCUAACUACGUGCCAGCAGCCGCGGUAAUACGUAGGUGGCGAGCGUUAUCCGGAAUUAUUGGGCGUAAAGAGCGCGCAGGUGGUUGAUUAAGUCUGAUGUGAAAGCCCACGGCUUAACCGUGGAGGGUCAUUGGAAACUGGUCAACUUGAGUGCAGAAGAGGGAAGUGGAAUUCCAUGUGUAGCGGUGAAAUGCGUAGAGAUAUGGAGGAACACCAGUGGCGAAGGCGGCUUCCUGGUCUGUAACUGACACUGAGGCGCGAAAGCGUGGGGAGCAAACAGGAUUAGAUACCCCGGUAGUCGUUC
rnacentral:rRNA from 1 species